GACGAACGCUGGCGGCGUGCUUAACACAUGCAAGUCGAACGGAAAGGCCCUGCUUUUGUGGGGUGCUCGAGUGGCGAACGGGUGAGUAACACGUGAGUAACCUGCCCUUGACUUUGGGAUAACUUCAGGAAACUGGGGCUAAUACCGGAUAGGAGCUCCUGCUGCAUGGUGGGGGUUGGAAAGUUUCGGCGGUUGGGGAUGGACUCGCGGCUUAUCCGCUUGUUGGUGGGGUAGUGGCGUACCAAGGCUUUGACGGGUAGCCGGCCUGAGAGGGUGACCGGCCACAUGGGGACUAAGAUACGGCCCAGACUCCAACGGGAGGCAGCAGUGGGGAAUAUUGCACAAUGGGCGGAAGCCUGAUGCAGCAACGCCGCGUGCGGGAUGACGGCCUUCGGGUUGUAAACCGCUGUCGCCUGUGACGAAGCGUGAGUGACGGUAAUGAAUAAAGAAGCACCGGCUAACUACGUG
rnacentral:rRNA from 1 species